UACGGAGGAUGCAAGCGUUAUCCGGAAUGAUUGGGCGUAAAGCGUCUGUAGGUGGUUUUUAAAGUCUUCUGUCAAAGAUCAGGGCUUAACCCUGGGUCGGCAGAAGAAACUUAAAAGCUGGAGUCUGGUAGGGGCAGAGGGAAUUCCCGGUGUAGCGGUGAAAUGCGUAGAGAUCGGGAAGAACACCAAUGGCGAAGGCACUCUGCUGGGCCACGACUGACACUGAGAGACGAAAGCUAGGGGAGCAAACGGG
rnacentral:rRNA from 1 species